GAACGCUGGCGGCAGGCCUAACACAUGCAAGUCGAACGCUCCAGCAAUGGAGAGUGGCAGACGGGUGAGUAACGCGUGGGAACCUUCCCAGUGGUACGGAAUAGCCCAGGGAAACUUGGGGUAAUACCGUAUAAGCCCCUAGGGGGAAAGAUUUAUCGCCAUUGGAUGGGCCCGCGUAGGAUUAGCUAGUUGGUGAGGUAACGGCUCACCAAGGCGACGAUCCUUAGCUGGUCUGAGAGGAUGAUCAGCCACACUGGGACUGAGACACGGCCCAAACUCCUACGGGAGGCAGCAGUGGGGAAUAUUGGACAAUGGGCGCAAGCCAGAUCCAGCCAUGCCGCGUGAGUGACGAAGGCCUUAGGGUUGUAAAGCUCUUUUGGCGGGGACGAUAAUGACGGUACCCGCAGAAUAAGCUCCGGCUAACUUCGUGCCAGCAGCCGCGGUAAUACGAAGGGAGCUAGCGUUGUUCGGAAUCACUGGGCGUAAAGCGCACGUAGGCGGAUUUGUAAGUCAGGGGUGAAAUCCCGGGGCUCAACCUCGGAACUGCCUUUGAUACUGCAAAUCUCGAGUCCGGAAGAGGUGGGUGGAAUUCCUAGUGUAGAGGUGAAAUUCGUAGAUAUUAGGAAGAACACCGGUGGCGAAGGCGGCCCACUGGUCCGGUACUGACGCUGAGGUGCGAAAGCGUGGGGAGCAAA
rnacentral:rRNA from 1 species